CCUCCGCGGAGGGGCCCGGGCCGCGCAGGUGCGCGCCGGGGGGAACGCGAGCUCGGCUUCUUCUGGUUAGAAAAGGAAGAGCGGGCGAGAGAGAGAGAGAGAGAGAGAGGAGGGUGCGAGAAAGGGAGAGGAAGAAGAAAGCGCGAGGCGAGGCGAGGCCGCCGGACCGCAACCCGGCGCCGAGGCCGGGGCUUUCCCGUGGUGCGUGAUAGAGCUGCCUCGGGUCCUACUUGCGCUCUUGUUUACUAGCAAAAUGUGAGAUCUGAAGGAGAGGAGGAGAGAGAGAGGUUCUAACGGGGAAAAAUUAUUGACAGACUAAAAUCGUACCUGUUCCCCAACCAAGCCAGCCUUCUUGAUGGGGUAAAGAUUGCCAACAUUAAUUUUUGAUGAAUAAGAGAACAAAUCAGCAUGUUCUACCUAGAAGAAGCUAUUGAUAGUAUUUUUUCUUUAUUGGAGGUGAAGAGAAGACAGAAAUUGUGUUCCUCUCAUUAUAAAUCACUCAAUGGACUGAUUUUUGUUGCUCUCAUUAACUUUUGGUGUGAAAACUGUUACAGAUGAAAUAUGAAGUUAAAAAAAAAAAGAAAUAUGAAGUUAGCCACAACCCAGGAAGUAAAUCAAGUAGGAAGAUUUAGGACUUACUUCCUACGAUUUACUUCCUACCCGCCAACUUCUAAGUGACCAAGUCUGAUAAAUUGCUAUAUGAUUUUAAAGCUAUUUUAACAUGUAAAAAGUUGUUUUUAAGAUUUUAUUUAUUUAUUCAUUAGAGACAGACAGAGAGAGAGAGAGAGGCAGAAACAUAGGCAGAGGGAGAAGCAGGCUUCCCUGUGGGUGAGCCUGAUGUGGGACUCGAUCCCAGGACCCCAGGAUCAGGCCCUGAGCCAAAGGCAGAUGAUCAACCACUAAGUCACCCAGGCGUCCCAACAUGUAAAAAGUUUUUAUUAGUUGCCAUACUCUCAUGUUUAGGUAGGAACAGCAAGGCAAAAUAAAAUUUGGCCUUACACAUCAAGGAAGCUAUAUAGAUGGGAAACUGAGAAAACUACCUUGCAUAAAACUAGACAAUAAUCAAAUAACAUAUUUUCUUAAGGAUCCUUGAGAUGAGAUUGACGAAAGGGAAAAGAGAAAUGGGGAGAGUGUGUAUUUCUUUUUUGCUAGGGGAAGUACCUCCAGUAAUUAGUUCUCAGAAAGGGGCAGGGGCAGUUGUCUACUGGGUUCACCAUAGAACCAAAGGUAGAUACUUCUGGAAAGUGCAAUCAGAAAGUGACCCAGGGUGGUGAGGGGCCAGUCUGCCUCAAAGCAAGAGCAGAAUUAAUCAUUUCCAUGCCCAUCCUAUGUGAAAUAGAUCAAUCAUGUAUAAAGUCUUCAGAAGAGAAGGGAAUAGAUUUUACAGUUUCAGUUAGAAGAUAGUACUUAGUGUUUCAGGAAAUGUGGGUGGUUGAUGCAACUGCAUUACCAACCCCUGGGUAAAGCUAAAAAAAAAAAAAACCUGUUUCAUGCCUAUAUGCAAAUAAGAUAAAA